GUACUCAGUCAUCACCUCCACAAACUUGCGUGACAGCGUCGAGUGCUGCAGCACAACAAGAAAGAGAGAAGAGAAAGUGUUUGGAGGUGUCGGUGUGCUUGGUCCUCCACCAGGAGGCAGCAGGGAGCAGACUGGUGGGCGGCAGCAGCCAAUGACAGAGCAGAAUACUGCAGGGUGUGGCCUUAUUUGAACACCUGGACUGGUCUCACCUGUGUCUUGCGGAUCCUGAGGUCCGCUGAUGAUCUGUUGAGACCCUCCUCCUGCUCGAUGCUCUGCUCGAUU